ensembl:lncRNA
GUUCCAGCAAUGGCAUGUGAUUUAAUUUUUCAUGGAGUAUGGAGAAGCCUUGUGUUGUGAUUUUAGGAUAUCAAAGCGGACUGCAGUACCUGUGCGGAAAUAGAGGACAGAAAGGUAAGUCAGUAUUUUUCAUCCUUUUGGUUUCAAGCAGAACGAGAACUCUGUGACUUAAACCCAAGUGUUUAAGGCAUGCCUUGCUGGACGCUGUCUUGCAAAGGUGAUCCAUGUGCUGAGCGUAG